AUUGAACGCUGGCGGCAGGCCUAACACAUGCAAGUCGAGCGGAUGACGGGAGCUUGCUCCUUGAUUCAGCGGCGGACGGGUGAGUAAUGCCUAGGAAUCUGCCUGGUAGUGGGGGACAACGUUUCGAAAGGAACGCUAAUACCGCAUACGUCCUACGGGAGAAAGCAGGGGACCUUCGGGCCUUGCGCUAUCAGAUGAGCCUAGGUCGGAUUAGCUAGUAGGUGAGGUAAUGGCUCACCUAGGCGACGAUCCGUAACUGGUCUGAGAGGAUGAUCAGUCACACUGGAACUUAGACGCGGUCCAGACUCCGACGGGAGGCAGCAGUGGUGAAUAUUGGACAAUGGGCGAAAGCCUGAUCCAGCCAUGCCGCGUGUGUGAAGAAGGUCCUCGGAUUGUAAAGCACUUUAAGUUGGGAGGAAGGGCAGUAAGUUAAUACCUUGCUGUUUUGACGUUACCGACAGAAUAAGCACCGGCUAACUCUGUGCCAGCCGCCGCGGUAAAAC
rnacentral:rRNA from 1 species